GGAAGAUGAAGGUGGCUGUGCUCAGCAUAGCCCUGCUCUUCUCCAUCCUGCUGUGCCCCCGGGCACAGGCCAAGGCACUCCUGGAAGGAACCCAAGAUGAUCUCCGGGAGUUGGAUUUAGACAAUGUUGUGGUCCUGGAGACGCCUCUG